rnacentral:lncRNA from 1 species
CAAUGGCAAGCAAAAAGGCGUAAGAAAUAAAGCGUAAACGGCACUCACGGUAUUCGGUAUCUCUCCCAGAAGAGCGAGAAGUGGAAAAAUAUCCAGAAUGGAAUUCCGAAGGGGGAAAAGGGGGGACGUUGGGGGGAGAAGGGAAAAAGGAAAAAAAAAAAAAAAAAGGAAGAAAAAGGGGGGAAAGGGAAAAAAAGAAAAAAAAAAAAACAGAAAAGCCCACGGAGGGCAAAACUACAUCAUUUCGGCAACCAAUCCAAUUUGACUGGAGGAAAAAGGGAAAGGAAAUUAAAUAUCCAUCCGCAAUUUUCCAUGUAGUUCAGUCCCAACGGGCUCCGAUCCAAUCCGCCCCAGUCCGGCCGACUCCCCUCCGCCGUCCUUUACAUGGUACCGCCGCUCGCUCUCCCUUCUCCUCCGUCUUCCCCCACCCGCCGUCGCUCUCAAAGGACGUGGCUGCUUCCUUCCAAUGUCCCUGGAUGGAUCGCUCAACUUCGUGCUUCCUUGGGGACCGGAGGAGGAGCGGGCCGGAGGGUCUCGCCGCUCUGCUUGGAAGAAGGCAGCAAGAGGACGCGGCCGAAAAGGAUGACUCCCGCCGAAGGCGAAGGGAGAGCGUCUUGCGCCUUUGAGAAACUUUUCAUUCCAGCCUGGAUUCUUCGCAGGCGCCUCUGCUCUGCUCCCCCCCGCCUCUCCCCUUUCCAACGUUUAACCACUCUUGAAUCCUUCCCAGAAGAAGAGAAGCUUUCUCCUUCGGAUGUGUUUUUCAGAGCCUGCAAUCCCUAGAAGAAAUGAUUAUACAGUCAGCAAAGCCUCUGGAAGACAUGGACACAUGAAGAGGAGUUGGUAGAAAAGAUAACCUGCAACUCAGAUUACAACCAAUACGGUAGAUCAACUUAAUUCUUUAAAUAGAAAGUUGAAAUGCAGUAUUUGGGAACUGUUCUGACUCUGGGCUUGACAGACUCUGAGAGGAGCUUGACAGGGGUACUGAAGCUCCUCCACACACAUUGGGACAGUACUGAAGCCCCUACAUGCACCCUCAAGCCACCUAAGGGGGGAAGGCUGCUGCAGAGAUGGACAGACUUCAGUGCCCUUCCAGUGUGCUUUGAAUCCAGUGUGAUCUGAACCCAGCUUCAGUAGGUUUUUUGACUGGCUUCUGGCUAACAUAGGAACAAUGAAGCUGGAAUGUAUAUUUUGCACUGAUGGACAAUCAGACAUGGAACCUCGCCCCCAUAACAUCAUUUUUUUGAAUUUUUAUAGGAAUCACAAUGAAACAGAAGCAAGACAGAUGAAGUUGAGAACUGUAUGACAUAAUGGUAGUGAGAGCGCAUGAGACCAAGUUUCCACUUAAUGUUAACUGCAGCCAAAAUGUUAUUAGCAGCUAAAUGACACACCCAUCUAUUUCCUACAUAGCAAGGACAGAUUAAUAAAGUAUGGGAUGUUGCCUCGAUAUCA